rnacentral:tRNA from 1 species
CGGGUUGUGGCUCAGUGGUAGAGCGCCUGCCUAGCAUGCAUGAGGUACUGGGUACAAUCCCCGACACCACAU